rnacentral:rRNA from 1 species
GGGGAAUUUUGGACAAUGGGGGAAACCCUGAUCCAGCCAUCCCGCGUGUGCGAUGAAGGCCUUCGGGUUGUAAAGCACUUUUGGCAGGGAAGAAAAGGCUCGGGCUAAUAACCUGGGCAAAUGACGGUACCUGCAGAAUAAGCACCGGCUAACUACGUGCCAGCAGCCGCGGUAAUACGUAGGGUGCGAGCGUUAAUCGGAAUUACUGGGCGUAAAGCGUGCGCAGGCGGUUUUGUAAGACAGAUGUGAAAUCCCCGGGCUUAAACUGGGAACUGCGUUUGUGACUGCCAGUCUGGAGUACGGCAGAGGGGGGUGGAAUUCCACGUGUAGCAGUGAAAUGCGUAGAGCUGUGGAGGAACACCGAUGGCGAAGGCAGCCCCCUGGGCCUGUACUGACGCUCAUGCACGAAAGCGUGGGGAGCAAACA